rnacentral:rRNA from 1 species
GAGUUUGAUCGUGGCUCAGAUUGAACGCUGGCGGCAUGCCUUACACAUGCAAGUCGAACGGCAGCAUGAUCUAGCUUGCUAGAUUGAUGGCGAGUGGCGAACGGGUGAGUAAUACAUCGGAACGUGCCCUGUAGUGGGGGAUAACUAGUCGAAAGAUUAGCUAAUACCGCAUACGACCUGAGGGUGAAAGUGGGGGACCGCAAGGCCUCAUGCUAUAGGGGCGGCCGAUGUCUGAUUAGCUAGUUGGUGGGGUAAAGGCCCACCAAGGCGACGAUCAGUAGCUGGUCUGAGAGGACGAUCAGCCACACUGGGACUGAGACACGGCCCAGACUCCUACGGGAGGCAGCAGUGGGGAAUUUUGGACAAUGGGCGAAAGCCUGAUCCAGCAAUGCCGCGUGUGUGAAGAAGGCC